rnacentral:rRNA from 1 species
UACGAAGGGGGCUAGCGUUGUUCGGAAUUACUGGGCGUAAAGCGCGCGUAGGCUGUGUAGCAAGUCAGAGGUGAAAUCCCGGAGCUUAACUUCGGAACUGCCUUUGAAACUGCUAUGCUGGAAUCUCAGAGGGGAUAGCGGAAUUCCAAAUGUAGGGGUGAAAUCCGUAGAUAUUUGGAGGAACACCGGUGGCGAAGGCGGCUAUCUGGAUGAGUAUUGACGCUGAGGCGCGAAAGCGUGGGGAUCAAACAGG